AGAACGAACGCUGGCGGCAGGCCUCAAACAUGCAAGUCUAGGGGGGUGUAGCAAUACAUCACCGGCGGACGGGUGCGUAACACGUGGGAAUAUACCUUUUGGUUCGGAACAACGCAGGGAAACUUGCGCUAAUACCGAAUGUGCCCUUACGGGGAAAGAUUUAUCGCCAAAGGAUUAGCCCGCGUCCGAUUAGCUAGUUGGUGAGGUAAUGGCUCACCAAGGCUCCGAUCGGUAGCUGUUCUGAGAGGAAGAUCAGCCACACUGGGACUGAGACACGGCCCAGACUCCUACGGGAGGCAGCAGUUGGGAAUCUUGGACAAUGGGGGAAACCCUGAUCCAGCCAUGCCGCGUGAGUGAUGAAGGCCUUCGGGUUGUAAAACUCUUUCGACGGGGACGAUAAUGACGGUACCGUAGAAGAAGCUCCGGCUAACUUCGCGCCAGCAGCCGC
rnacentral:rRNA from 1 species